CUUGCAAUAAGAUGAUAUAAUGUUGUUUGUUCAUCCGAAACCAUAGUAUAUUGCAACUGACCUUUUCAGUGAUCUGAAGAUCGUGAGGUGCUUCUUAAAGCAAAGGAAGCUCAUAGGCCAUAAAAAGAGUUUUCGAUAAGAACUGAAUCAGCCAUCCACUUGAGUAAAUUCUAAAGCAUUUGCAUCUGGAUCUCUUGUAAAGAUUGCUGGCCUUCCUGACUUGCUAAGCGUAUAGGGAAUACCAGCUUUAUCAAGGAUCACUUUCAACUUCGAUACGUCCUUAAUUCCGAUACAAGUAUGACGAUCGCGGCCUCCAUGUUCAGGUCGUCCAAAUAAAGGAUCAGGGUUUGGAAGUUCCAUUAAAUGAAUCAUCUCAGCACCCACCCACAACCAAGCACCUCUAUAAGGAAGCUUAUCGUGUGGCCUUGCUUCAUUUAUUUUAAGACCUAGAAUAUUUAGAUAAAAGUGAAGCGACCUCUCGAGGUUCUCACAAAGUACUCCAACAUGGUGAACGCCAACUGCUCCAUAAUCAUUCUCAACAUCAAUUUCAAUUGGCUCUUUAUCUUUCUCAAGCACAUCUUGUUCAAUACCCCCCUUGGCUCUUGUUGUAAAGCAAAUUCCAUGAUAACCACCGGUCCUUCCUAUUUUCCCAUAAUUUUUUAAUGAAGGGUUUGUAGAUAUAGAACUGAAAUUGAGAAGAUUCACCUUUGGUCUCAGAUGAAUGGCAGAUGGCGG
rnacentral:misc_RNA from 1 species